UACGUAGGGGGCAAGCGUUGUCCGGAUUUAUUGGGCGUAAAGAGCGUGUAGGCGGUUAGGUAGGUCCGUUUGUGAAAACUCGAGGCUCAACCUCGAGAUGUCGGCGGAAACCGUCUGGCUAGAGUCCGGAAGAGGAGAGUGGAAUUCCUGGUGUAGCGGUGAAAUGCGCAGAUAUCAGGAAGAACACCUAUGGCGAAGGCAGCUCUCUGGGACGGUACUGACGCUGAGACGCGAAAGCGUGGGGAGCGAACAGG
rnacentral:rRNA from 1 species